UACUGUACUGUAAUGUACUAAAUGCUCUGUGCUGAUGCUGUUUGUGUAACACUCAGAUGGCUGGCCAGUGCUGGGUGGCUGUAACACUCUGCCUGUUGCUGUUCGAUGGAAACAGUUUGGCAGCUGUGGACCAGAACCAACUUGCACCACUUGUAGAUGAGAUCUUGUACAGGUACGGACCAAGCUACAAGGGUAUAAGAGGAACCCCAAUGUUCAGCCUGGCAGUAACCAUCCCAUACAACAAAGGCAAGAAGAUAUAUGACAUCAAUCAACUUGACAAUUCAAGGAAAACAGUCGAGAGGAAGUUUCGUUAUUGUGAAGUGUACACCGGCACGAGGGUGGUUGCAGCCACAGUUCUGAGAUGGCCUAAUGUUGUGAAUCAGUGUCCUGGUGGACGUGUGCAAUGGCCUGAUGUUCUGACAAAAUGUCCUCGAGGGGUUAAGACCUGGGCUGACGUUAACAGACAGUGUCCUAAUGAAGUUUGGAAGGGUAGAGCAGAUCAUGCAGAGUACCGUACUCUGCAGCACAUUAACACCUUGGUCAAUCGUCUUAACAAAAAUGAUUUGUUGCUUUUCUACGUUCGUGCUUCCCCAUGUGAUAAAAGAUGUACAAACGAAGAAAAUAAUUUGAACAUUCUUGACAGCAUCAAAGAGAUUAAGAAAUGGAAAAACUACGCUGUUGUGUUUUCUGACAUAUUCCAGCCUCGUAGUGGUUAUGUCAUACCUGAAAAGAAUCUAAAGGGAGCCCUCGAGUGACUUGGGGGAUCAAUCGGUCUGAGCAACAUAUUCCGUUGUGAUAAACAGGAUAAUAACCCAGAAAGUGCUAUGCAGUGCACCAGCUGCUCUAGUGGUGGACAAGUUGCCCACAAUUGUUAUUCAAACAAUUCACCAGGAGGCAGCGGAGGAGGUGGCAGAAGAGGUGGCAAAGGCUGAGGAGGUGGAGGAGGAGGUGGUAGAGGCAGAGGAGGUGGAGGAGGAGGUGGCAGAAGAGGUGGCAAAGGCUGAGGAGGUGGAGGAGGAGAUGGUAGAGGCAGAGGAGGUGGAGGAGGAGGUGGCAGAAGAGGUGGCAAAGGCAGAGGAGGUGGAGGAGGAGAUGGUAGAGGCAGAGGAGGUGGAGGAGGAGGUGGCAGAAGCAGAGGAGGUGGCGGAGGAGGUUGGGGUCUUUGAGGAUUCGGCAGACGCACAGGAUGACGGGGUCUUGGGGGAUUUGGUAGGAGAUCAAGAUGGGGUCGUAGUUAAGUUUUGGGAAAGCUGUGAUUCAGGUGAAACAGAUUUGCUGGAACUUCAGCAGCUCCACAAAUCCACCUUGACUGCAACAAACUCCCUCGCUUUGAAACAAAAAACUUUACUAUAUUACUAUAUUAUUACUAUAUAGAUCAUGCAUAACUCUCAAGUAAUUUCUCAUACUGAUGCUAUGACCUUUUUUUUAUUUUAAAAAAUAAUUAAAAAAAAGAUUUUACUGUCCUCAGUAUUUACAGUACUGAUGUCACUGUACACAUCUCUUCAUGUCUGUUUAAUCUGAAUAAAGCUUCAC
rnacentral:lncRNA from 1 species